UGAAUACGAGACGCUAAGGCGUCGAAGUAGUGUAUGUCAUACUUCCAAGAAAAGCUUGCACUGUCAUAGAUAAAAAACGCCUGUACCAUAACCGACACAGGUGGGUAGGUAGAGUAUACUAAGGGGCGCGAGAUAACUCUCUCUAAGGAACUCGGCAAAAUAACUCCGUAACUUCGGGAGAAGGAGUGCCUUAUUCGUAAGGUUGCAAUAACAAGAUCCAAGCAACUGUUUAUCAAAAACACAGGUCUCCGCUAAGUCGUAAGACGAUGUAUGGGGGCUGACGCCUGCCCAGUGCCAGAAGGUUAAAGAAGUUGGUUAGCAAUUGCGAAGCUGAUAACUGAAGCCCUGGUGAACGGCGGCCGUAACAAUAACGGUCCUAAGGUAGCGAAAUUCCUUGUCGGGUAAGUCCCGACCCGCACGAAAGGCGUAAUGAUUUGGAUACUGUCUCGGAGAGGGGCUCGGUGAAAUAGACUUGUCUGUGAAGAUGCGGACUACCUGCACCAGGACAGAAAGACCCUAUGAAGCUUUACUGUAACUUGAAAUUGAAAUUGGACUUUAUUCGCGCAGUAUAGGUGGGAGGCGUUGAUUAUAAUCUUGUGGGAUUAUUGGAGCCAUCAGUGAGAUACCACUCUUGUAAUGUUAGAUUUCUAACUUUGAAUCAUUAUCUGGUCAAAGAACAGUUUCAGGCGGGCAGUUUGACUGGGGCGGUCGCCUCCUAAACGGUAACGGAGGCGUACAAAGGUUUCCUCUGAACGGUUAGAAAUCGUAUCUAGAGUGUAAAGGCAUAAGGAAGCUUGACUGUGAGACCUACAAGUCGAGCAGGGACGAAAGUCGGUCUUAGUGAUCUGACGGUACUGAGUGGAAAGGCCGUCACUCAACGGAUAAAAGUUACUCUAGGAUAACAGGCUGAUCUCCCCCAAGAGUUCACAUCGACGGGGAGGUUUGGCACCUCGAUGUCGGCUCAUCGCAUCCUGGGGCGGUAGUACGUCCCAAGGGUUGGGCUGUUCGCCCAUGAAAGCGGUACGCGAGCUGGGUUCAGAACGUCGUGAGACAGUUCGGUCCAUAUCCGGUGUAGGCGUUAGAAUAUUGAGAGGAGCCUUCUUUAGUACGAGAGGACCGAGAAGGACAUACCUCUGGUGUACCAGUUAUCGUGCCAACGGUAAACGCUGGGUAGCUAUGUAUGGAGUGGAUAACCGCUGAAAGCAUCUAAGUGGGAAGCCCACCUCAAGAUAAGUAUUCUCA
rnacentral:rRNA from 1 species